UGGGGAAUAUUGCACAAUGGGCGCAAGCCUGAUGCAGCCAUGCCGCGUGUAUGAAGAAGGCCUUCGGGUUGUAAAGUACUUUCAGUCGGGAGGAAGGUGGUAAGGUUAAUAACCUUAUCAAUUGACGUUACCGACAGAAGAAGCACCGGCUAACUCCGUGCCAGCAGCCGCGGUAAUACGGAGGGUGCAAGCGUUAAUCGGAAUUACUGGGCGUAAAGCGCACGCAGGCGGUUGAUUGAGUCAGAUGUGAAAUCCCCGGGCUUAACCCGGGAAUUGCAUCUGAUACUGGUCCGCUAGAGUCUUGUAGAGGGGGGUAGAAUUCCAUGUGUAGCGGUGAAAUGCGUAGAGAUGUGGAGGAAUACCGGUGGCGAAGGCGGCCCCCUGGACAAAGACUGACGCUCAGGUGCGAAAGCGUGGGGAGCAAACAGG
rnacentral:rRNA from 1 species